rnacentral:rRNA from 1 species
GACGCGACCUCAGCUCAGGCGGGGCUACCCGCUGAGUUUAAGCAUAUCAAUAAGCGGAGGAWAAGAACUAACAAGGAUUCCCCUA